rnacentral:lncRNA from 1 species
CGCCUACAAGGCCGCUAUUAGCAUUAUAUUAACAUAUUUAAUCAAUCAGAUUUUAGAUUUUUCGAAUAAAAUUUGCAUUCGUUUUCGUGCUGCAGGUCAACUAUUCACCAUCCAGUAAACGAAAUCGCAGUUUCGACUGCCCGUCCAGAUGACGCGUUCUGCGCUAGCUGAGACUGCAUGGGAUAAUAUGCAUAUAUAUCAAAGUGUUGAACUGUUCAAUCAUCAUUUCAAUUAGUUUCCGCACGGUCAAUUCGCUUUAAAUUAAAAAAUAUAUUCCCUUAGGUGUACCUUGUAUACAAUUAACCAAAAUAAUUAUUCUAGUACAAUAAUGAUUUCAUUUGAACAGUUCAUGAUGUGCAUAUUCUAAUUUUUCCAAUCUCAGCUACAUGUUAUGAUUCAACCCCAAUUUGUUCUCAGCGCAGAACGUGUUAUUUGGAUGCGCAGUCGAAACUCUGAUUUCGUCUACAAUCCUUGACAAAAGUUCUUGUACAAUUCAACGCCCCCCNNNNNNNNNNNNNNNNNNNNACCCCCCCCCCCCCCCCCCCCCCUUCAAUAGUGAGUUUGGGCAGUUCCACGAACGAAACGGCAUAAAACAAAACAUUUAAAUUAAAACAGCAAAGGGGACAGAAAAAAGUUUGAGAUAACCGAAUCAGUGCCAAAUUGAAAAAAAACUCAAUAACAUUCACGUGGUACCCAUGCAUUGAUACGACUUUUACUUGCGAAAUAUAAAAUAACACUAGGUAUCUGAAAAUGAAGGAAUGCAUUCUCCAUUUCAUGAGUUCGUUUUAUGUGCCUGGUUACGCUCCGAACUGAGUUUAAAGUCAUUAGAUUUCGAUUUCUCUAAAAUAUAAGCAAAAAAUUGGAAGAAAAGUAGAACUUAGAAGGGAGGUUUGAUAUUCUACUAACUAAAUCUUGCUUAGUAAAUCUUAUGUCAUGUCUUUUAUCUUCAAAUGGUUCAAUGUCUUUUCAAAGAUGCUAAACAUUGUGUUGUGAAUACCUUAGAUUUUAAGAAUUUCCUAGUGGAAUUAAGUGGAUAGCAUAUAGAUUUGAGUUGUUGUAAGGUUAGGCAAAACAAGUUAGUGACCGAGUUGUGGUAUUCACACAAACAUCAAACAUGCCAUGCAAAUACUUAACAGAAGAUUCACUCAAUCUACAGUAUAAUAUAACGCUGUAUAACCAAGAUAUAUAGCGUAGUCAGAAAUGCAGUCCUAGGGGGAAAAAACACGAAAAUGUUCUGGGCGAGCAUGCUCCCAGACCAUCCCCCUCCUACCAUUACAUACGACACCACACCUAACGUUUGUUACCAACAACCAUCUGUCAUUUCUUGGUCAGUAUAGUAGUACACUGUAAAUUUCACCAAAAAGGUGACAGAAUAACACUUUCGGAGUUGAUUCCACUCCUUGAAAUUGACCCUGAAAUGUACAGUGUAUGGUCCGCGAUCCCUUUCUGUAGAUG